GAUGAAGAACGCAGCGAAAUGCGAUAAGUAAUGUGAAUUGCAGAAUUCAGUGAAUCAUCGAAUCUUUGAACGCACAUCGCGCCCCUUGGUAUUCCAUGGGGCAUGCCUGUUCGAGCGUCAUUUGUACCUUCAAGCUUUGCUUGGUGUUGGGUGUUUGUCUCGCCUUUGCGUGUAGACUCGCCUUAAAAUAAUUGGCAGCCGGCGUAUUGAUUUCGGAGCGCAGUACAUCUCGCGCUUUGCACUCAUAACGACAGCGUCCAAAAGUACAUUUUACACUCUUGACCUCGGAUCAGGUAGGGAUACCCGCUGAACUUAAGCAUAUCAAUAAGCGGAGGA
rnacentral:misc_RNA from 1 species